rnacentral:rRNA from 1 species
UGCGGCAGCUUACACAUGCAGUCGAGCGGUAACAGGGGGUGCUUGCACCCCGCUGACGAGCGGCGGACGGGUGAGUAAUGCAUAGGAAUCUGCCCAGUAGUGGGGGAUAGCCCGGGGAAACCCGGAUUAAUACCGCAUACGCCCUUUGGGGGAAAGCAGGGGAUCUUCGGACCUUGCGCUAUUGGAUGAGCCUAUGUCGGAUUAGCUAGUUGGUGGGGUAAAGGCCUACCAAGGCGACGAUCCGUAGCUGGUCUGAGAGGAUGAUCAGCCACAUCGGGACUGAGACACGGCCCGAACUCCUACGGGAGGCAGCAGUGGGGAAUAUUGGACAAUGGGGGCAACCCUGAUCCAGCCAUGCCGCGUGUGUGAAGAAGGCUUUCGGGUUGUAAAGCACUUUCAGUGAGGAGGAAAACCUUCUGGUUAAUACCCAUGAGGCUUGACGUUACUCACAGAAGAAGCACCGGCUAACUCCGUGCCAGCAGCCGCGGUAAUACGGAGGGUGCAAGCGUUAAUCGGAAUUACUGGGCGUAAAGCGCGCGUAGGUGGUUUGAUAAGCGAGAUGUGAAAGCCCCGGGCUUAACCUGGGAACGGCAUUU